UAAAUUUAAAGGAAUAUGUUUGAAAAUUAGAGAAACAACUAAAAAAAUAACGCCAAGCAAUUUUGUUUGAAAAAACAAACAGUAUUUAUAUUUUUACUCCGUCUUGCGAAACAGUGACACCGCGUGGACAUGCUUGAAACUGCAGCAGCAGCCUUUAUCUGAAUUCUGAUUGGCUAUUUCUUGGCUCUUUUUGUGACGACACUUCCGGUAUAUGACUUUUUCCCCGGGAAGGCGAUUUGGCGCGGAAUCUGUUGUUUUUGGUUUCUUCCUCUGGUGUCACCCUGAAAUUUUUUUAAGCAAAUGGCGCCGGUUUCUAAUCAAGAAAAAGACGCGGAUAGCGGGGAUUACGAUGUUGGGGCCAAUUGCGGUCUCGCCGCAUCCCGCUCCAGACGAGAGAGAAAAGAGAAAGUGGGUCGUAAAUCCGCCUUGGAGCAGCUUAAAAGAGCCAAAAAGGGCGAGAAGGUGAAAUAUGAGGUGGAGGAGAUGGAGAGCGUGUACGAGGAGGUGGAUGAGGAUCAGUACUCUCGGAUGGUCCGGGAGAGACAGGACGACGACUGGAUCGUUGAUGACGAUGGAGCAGGUUACGUAGAAGACGGCAGAGAGAUCUUUGAUGAAGAUCUGCAGGGUACCGACUCGGAAAAAAGCUCUAAGAACAAAUCUGGUGCUAAAGGAGGAGACACCAAGAACGCUAAGAAAGCAUCCGUGAGUAAACCCAACAACAUCAAGAGUAUGUUCAUGAACAGCAACGUCAAAAAACCCGCCGAGAAAAAUGUGGACCUGUCCAAAGAUGAUCUGUUGGGAGACAUUUUGGAGGAUCUGCACGCCGAGAAACCGGUGCUUUUUACUCCUCCACCUGUCAUCACCCUGAAGAAAAAGAAAGCCCUGGGAGCACCCAUGAACCCUUUCUCUGUCCAAUCAAAAACCCCCAAGGAGACACCUGUAGCUCUGGCGUCAAAGCCCAAGCAUGCCGUGAUCCGCCCUCCUCCGUCUGAUCUCUCACCUAAACCAGCGUCUAAACCCGCCCCCUCCGUCCACCCCCAAAAACCCGAGGUGGAGGAAUCCGAGGAAGCGUACGACUCGUUAGAUUUUGACGGGGCGGACUUCGAUGAGCCGAUGGAGCUGGGGGCUGAGAGGCAGGUGGAAACGGAGAUUAAAGCAGAGCCGGAACCCGAGGGCGAGGUGUUGACAUCAGGCAUGGUGGGCGGCUCCUGCUGGGGGAAGAUGGAGGAGCAGGAGGAUGACGAGUCUCCCGUGGAGGUGCAGGUGGACUCCAGUCAACUGCCGAUGGCGGAGGGAGCUGAUGGAGAAAUGGUGUUCCGCUUUUAUUGGCUGGACGCUUUCGAGGAUCAGUUCAACCAACCAGGUGUGGUGUACCUGUUCGGGAAGGUGUGGAUUGAGUCUGCUAAAGCGCACGUCAGCUGCUGCGUGGCCGUGAAAAACAUCGAGAGGACUAUGUACUUCUUGCCAAGAGAGCGCAAGAUAAACCUGGCGAGCGGUGAGGAGACGGACGUUCCAGUCGGAAUGAUGGACGUCUACCAGGAGUUUAACAGCCUCUCUGAAAAAUACAAAAUAAUGAAGUUCAAGUCCAAGAAAGUUGAGAAGAACUACGCCUUCGAGAUUCCGGACGUACCUACACAGAGCGAGUACCUGGAAGUGCGAUACUCUGCCGAGAUGCCUCAGCUGCCGUCCAAUCUAAAAGGCUCCACCUUCUCGCAUGUGUUUGGUACGAACACCUCCAGCCUGGAGCAUUUCCUCCUCAGCAGGAAGAUCCGAGGACCCUGCUGGCUCAAUGUUAAGACCCCUCAGCUGUGCAGUCAGCCGAUGAGCUGGUGUAAAGUGGAGGCCAUCGCGCUGAAAAGCGAGCUGAUCUCAGUGGUGAAGGACCUGCCUCCUCCUCCGCUCGUCGUCAUGUCCAUCAGCCUGAAGACGGUUCCCAACCCAAAGACCCACCACAACGAGAUCGUGUCUCUGGCUGCUCUUAUUCAUUACAAGUUUCCUCUGGACAAGGCACCUCCACGUAUUCCUUAUCAGACCCAUUUCUGUGUGGUGAACAAGCCCACGGACUGCAUCUAUCCCUACGACUUCAAGGAUGCGGUUAAGAAGAAGAACGGGAUUGUAGAGAUGGCAGCGACAGAACGAACUCUCUUGGGCUUCUUCUUGGCCAAGUUGCACAAGAUCGAUCCUGACGUUUUGGUGGGGCAUGACAUCUUGGGCUUUGACCUGGAAGUCCUGCUGCAGAGGAUCAACAUGUGUAAGGUGCCCUUCUGGUCCAAAAUCGGCCGACUGAGGCGGGCCAACAUGCCCAAACUUGGGGGCCGAGGCGGUUUCGCAGAGAAGAGCGCCGCCUGUGGCAGACUCGUGUGUGACGUCGAAAUCUCCGCUAAGGAGCUGAUUCGCUGUAAGAGUUACCACCUGACUGAACUGGCAGCGCAGAUCCUUAAGACGGAGCGAGCCAUGGUGCCUCCUGAGAACAUCAGGAACUUGUACAGUGACUCUCCUCAUCUGCUCUACCUGUUGGAACUCACCUGGAUGGACGCUAAGCUCAUCCUGCAGAUCAUGUGCGAGCUCAACGUGCUUCCUCUGGCGCUUCAGAUCACCAACAUCGCCGGCAACGUCCUGUCCCGGACGCUGAUGGGUGGCCGCUCGGAGAGGAACGAGUACCUGCUGCUUCACGCCUUCCACGAGAGGAACUACAUCGUUCCAGACAAACAUUUCAUGAAGAAACAUCAACAUGAGCCUGGUGAGGAUGAUGAUGUAGAUGUAGGGAAGAAUAAGUCUGGGAAGGUGAGGAGGAAGGCUGCAUACGCUGGAGGUCUGGUCCUGGAACCUAAAAUUGGUUUUUAUGAUAAGUUCAUUCUGCUUCUGGACUUCAACAGUCUGUACCCAUCCAUCAUCCAGGAGUUUAACAUCUGUUUCACUACGGUUCAGCGCGAGGCGUCCGGCUCACGCAAAAAGAUCGAGCAGGACGAGGACGCGGACGAGGUUCCGGACCUUCCGGACCCGGAUCUGGAGAUGGGCGUUCUUCCGAAGGAGAUCCGUAAGCUGGUGGAGCGCAGGCGGCAGGUCAAACAGCUGAUGAAGCAGCCUGAUCUGAACCCUGACCUUUACCUGCAGUAUGAUAUCAGACAGAAGGCUCUGAAACUCACUGCUAACAGCAUGUAUGGGUGUCUGGGCUUCUCCUACAGUCGCUUCUAUGCCAAACCUCUGGCUGCUCUCGUCACACACAAGGGUAGAGAGAUCCUAAUGCACACCAAAGACAUGGUUCAGAAGAUGAAUCUGGAUGUGAUUUACGGAGACACCGAUUCCAUCAUGAUCAACACCAACAGCUCCAACCUGGACGAGGUCUUCAAACUGGGCAACAAGGUGAAGAGUGAAGUGAAUAAACUGUACCGACUGCUGGAGCUGGACAUCGACGGCGUGUUUAAGUCCCUGCUGCUGCUGAAGAAGAAGAAGUACGCCGCUCUGAUGGUGGAGCCGCUGGGAGAGGGCCGCUACACCACCAAGCAGGAGCUGAAAGGCCUGGACAUCGUUCGUAGGGACUGGUGCGGCCUCGCAAAGGAGUGCGGCAACUAUGUGAUCGGUCAGAUUUUGUCGGAUCAGAACCGUGACGUGAUCCUGGAGAACAUCCAGCAGCAUCUGAUCGAGGUUGGGGAGAAGGUGGCCAACGGCAGUGUCCCUCUCAACAUGUUCGAGAUCCACAAGGCUCUGACGAAGGACCCUCAGGACUACCCGGAUAAGAAGAGUCUCCCACAUGUGCAUGUGGCCCUGUGGAUCAACUCUCAAGGAGGCCGGAAGGUCAAGGCAGGAGACACCGUGUCCUACAUCAUCUGUCAGGACGGCUCGAAUCUAACAGCAAGCCAAAGGGCGUAUGCUCCGGAGCAGCUCCAGAAGCAGCCGGGUCUGAGCCUGGACACGCAGUACUACCUGUCGCAGCAGGUUCACCCCGUGGUGGGGCGAAUCUGUGAGCCCAUCGAGGGUAUCGAUGCCGUCCUGAUCGCCACGUGGCUGGGUCUGGACCCGGGGCAGUUCCGGGCCCAGCAGAGGCAGCAGCGAGAGGAGGAGUCGGAUGGGUUCCUGGGCGUUCCGGCUCAGUUGACGGACGAAGAACGGUAUCGCGAUUGCGAGAGGUUCUCCUUCGCUUGUCCCGAGUGCGGCACGGAGAACAUCUACGACAGCGUGUUUGAGGGAACGGUGAGUCUUCCUCAAGGUCGUUCGUUACAUAACUGGAGAAAACGCUGAAGUAACUAUUUCAUAGAUUUAUUCAUAUUUAUGAAAAUAAUAAUAAUAAUUAAUCGUGCACUGAUAGUUUGUUUCGAAAAUUGUAUGCUUUUUUUUUUUUUUUUUUUUUUUUUUUUUGUACUUGGUGAAAUUGAUACUGAAUUGCAUAUCUUACUCGCUAUUAAUAAAUCGGUGAUGUCACCGUACAUUUUAUUUCGCUCAUUUUAGGUUUCCCCGGUUCAAACGGCAGCCAUGAAAAGCUCCCACGUGUGUUCAGUCACUUUAAUUGAUGGCAGGUGUACGCUAAUUAGUAUUUAACAUGAGUUUGAAUGUGAUUGAUUGAUUAAUUUGAUUGAUUGAUUUCACAAUAAAAGGUAGAAUAUGUUCUGACAUGAUUUAUCUCGGUUUAAUUUUAUUAUUUUUUUUACGUCACAAAAAACCUGCCGUUUUAACAGGGGUGUGUAAACUUUUUAUAUCCACCGUAGCUACAGAUCAAGUGAAGAGCGGGUUUUGUUUCACUCCAAGCGUGCUCCCGUACACCUGUAAAGUAAAGGUUUCGCUUUCAUCGCAUCCGAAUCCCUCGAUGUCGCCGAUAUUCGGAUAUCAAUCGAUCGGCGUGUUUUGUUUUGUUUUGGUUUUUUUUGGUGUUUUUUUUUUUAAAAAAAAGUAUUUGUUUAUUUAUUUAAUAUAUUGAACUUUUCUCGCUUAGCCAGUGUUUCCUGCGAGCGACGAACUCCUCGUGCUGAGUUUUAUCGCUUGUAUUAUCGGACGACGCUGCAAUUCCUCCUUAUGCUUUGAUCGGCGUCUGUAAUCGUGAGACACGCCCAGACCGCUGUCAUCUGUUUUAGCGUGAACCCAGGAUUACGUCACAGAGUAUCACCUGAUAUCUGAGCGGUUCCUCUGAUCUCACUUUGAGAACUGCUGUUAUAAUGGCUGUUCUCUUUAAUUUUAGCUGUUGGGUAGUGGGAGUGCAUGUUGUCCCACCACAUCACCCCUCCCCCCAGACGCAGGACAGCUGUCCGAUUCAGUUAAAGGAGCGGAGUCUUAUCUACAUCUAAUUAAAAGUUAAACGCAGCGACGCGCAGCUUUCCCUCAUCUUUCUGUAACUUGUAAAAAAAAAAAAAAAAGUCACGCACUCCCUCCCUCGCCGAGCCGUGUCCUCCUAGCGUGUCGGAGAACUCGCACUCUUUCACAAGGACCUCUAAUGCAGACUAACAGGGAGAAAUAAAGUGUGCGCGCAUAGUUUGCUUAGAACGUCCUCACUUUUCCGACUUUGAUUUGCCCUCCCACACACGCACACACACACACGCACGGCUGCUCAUGCCUCGCUGAUAAGCCCGUGUAAUAAUUAAGAGCGUGGUAUUUCGGAGCAUCUGUGUAGAAGGGAGGGAGGGGGAAAACCGAGCGCGCAGGAGGAAAAGCCUUGACUCUCUCAGCCAAGCCGUCCAGCGAGAAGCUUUUUCUUUCGUUCUUAUCAGAGACGAGGGAGGAGGAGAGCAGGAAUGCAAACACACUCUCGGCCCGAGAGAGGCGAAAGAGUAUUUGCAUAGAAGCACUGUUCCUCUCAAAGUGCUAUCCAAUGAUGGGGAGUAAACAUCAUAAACAGGCUAAUGGCUCACGGAGACUACCGGUGGUCCGAUCCAACAGGCGGCUGAGCGCUCUCCUCCUGUCAUAAAGGGCAUGUGAUGGAACCGAGUCUGAAGCGCUGCUGUCACAUCCCUUGUAAUGCGAGCCCACU